CAUUUCAUUUGAAGAAUGUAGGAAUGGCUGAGCUGAGAAGGCAUGGAAGGGCAUUGGAGACCCAGGGACCUGCAUAGACAAAGCAGUUGAGGAUUCCUGUCAGAAUCACCAUUUUUGGUAAACAAACCAAGCCCAGAACCUGAUAAUUAUGGAGCAUUCUACACUGACAGUUCUUUGAGACAAAUUUCCUCUUGGCAUUUACACUGUGGCUUUAGCUUUCAAACCAGAGGUUCCUCUUACCCAGCAAAAA
rnacentral:lncRNA from 1 species